GAUUUCUGGCUUGGCGCGCCUUGUCCGCCAGCGUUAGCUGCGUGAGUACGGGGUCGCGCCUGCCAUCCUUCCAGAGAACGUCUCUACUCUUCAUUGAGCCGGAGGCGCAAUCUGGAUCUUUUACUUUGAAAAAAUUAGAGUGUUUAAAGCAGGCUUAUGCUAUGAAUACAUUAGCAUGGAAUAAUAAUUUAGGACUUCGGUUCUAUUUUGUUGGUUUCUAGGACUGAAGUAAUGAUUGAUAGGGAUAGUUGGGGGUGCUAGUAUUCAGCGGCCAGAGGUGAAAUUCUCGGAUUCGCUGAAGACUAACUUAUGCGAAAGCAUU
rnacentral:rRNA from 1 species